rnacentral:misc_RNA from 1 species
GACUUCUCAACCACGACUCGUCAUCGAGUUUGUGGCUUGGAUGGUGGGGGAUUUUUUUGUUUGCAGGCUUUUCGCAGGAAAGGUCGGCUCCCCUGAAACAUAUCAGCGGUGAUCUUGAGGCUUAUUGCUAUAGGUGUGAUAAAUUAUCUAUGCCCUUGCGUUGUGCCACAUGAACUGCUUCCAACUCUCUUUUGAACUGUUGACGA